CCAAGAGCAGCUGCUUUUUGGAGAAGGACAAACGCAUUCUAAAAGAGCUGAAGAGCCUGCACUGUGACCCACAUCCAUUCUGCACUGUUUUGCCGUCAGAGUCAGACUUUACGUUUUGGAAGAUUCUCAUGCAAGGCCCUCCUGAUACACCUUACGAGAAUGGAGCCUUUGAGCUGUACUGUCAGUUUGGGGCUGACUACCCCGUCAAACCUCCACUUGUGCGCUUUGUCACACCUGUGUACCACUGUAACAUAAACAGUGUGGGUCGUAUCUGUCACAACAUAUUUGACCGCAGCUACAACGCUCACAUAACCAUGAGAGAGAUCUUGGAUGCUGUAUAUGGA